rnacentral:rRNA from 1 species
UACGGAGGGUGCAAGCGUUAUCCGGAUUCACUGGGUUUAAAGGGUGCGUAGGUGGGUUGGUAAGUCAGUGGUGAAAUCUCCAGGCUUAACUUGGAAACUGCCAUUGAUACUAUCAAUCUUGAAUACCGUGGAGGUCAGCGGAAUAUGUCAUGUAGCGGUGAAAUGCUUAGAUAUGACAUAGAACACCAAUUGCGAAGGCAGCUGGCUACACGAAUAUUGACACUGAUGACACGAAAGCGUGGGGAUCAACAGGAAUUAAAACCCCUGGUAGUCCAAGCACCGAAGAUCCUUCUGCCUACCGAUA